GAUGAACGCUGGCGGCGUGCCUAAUACAUGCAAGUCGAGCGAACGGACGAGAAGCUUGCUUCUCUGAUGUUAGCGGCGGACGGGUGAGUAACACGUGGAUAACCUACCUAUAAGACUGGGAUAACUUCGGGAAACCGGAGCUAAUACCGGAUAAUAUUUUGAACCGCAUGGUUCAAAAGUGAAAGACGGUCUUGCUGUCACUUAUAGAUGGAUCCGCGCUGCAUUAGCUAGUUGGUAAGGUAACGGCUUACCAAGGCAACGAUGCAUAGCCGACCUGAGAGGGUGAUCGGCCACACUGGAACUGAGACACGGUCCAGACUCCUACGGGAGGCAGCAGUAGGGAAUCUUCCGCAAUGGGCGAAAGCCUGACGGAGCAACGCCGCGUGAGUGAUGAAGGUCUUCGGAUCGUAAAACUCUGUUAUUAGGGAAGAACAUAUGUGUAAGUAACUGUGCACAUCUUGACGGUACCUAAUCAGAAAGCCACGGCUAACUACGUGCCAGCAGCCGCGGUAAUACGUAGGUGGCAAGCGUUAUCCGGAAUUAUUGGGCGUAAAGCGCGCGUAGGCGGUUUUUUAAGUCUGAUGUGAAAGCCCACGGCUCAACCGUGGAGGGUCAUUGGAAACUGGAAAACUUGAGUGCAGAAGAGGAAAGUGGAAUUCCAUGUGUAGCGGUGAAAUGCGCAGAGAUAUGGAGGAACACCAGUGGCGAAGGCGACUUUCUGGUCUGUAACUGACGCUGAUGUGCGAAAGCGUGGGGAUCAAACAGGAUUAGAUACCCUGGUAGUCCACGCCGUAAACGAUGAGUGCUAAGUGUUAGGGGGUUUCCGCCCCUUAGUGCUGCAGCUAACGCAUUAAGCACUCCGCCUGGGGAGUACGACCGCAAGGUUGAAACUCAAAGGAAUUGACGGGGACCCGCACAAGCGGUGGAGCAUGUGGUCUAAUUCGAAGCAACGCGAAGAACCUUACCAAAUCUUGACAUCCUUUGACAACUCUAGAGAUAGAGCUUUCCCCUUCGGGGGACAAAGUGACAGGUGGUGCAUGGUUGUCGUCAGCUCGUGUCGUGAGAUGUUGGGUUAAGUCCCGCAACGAGCGCAACCCUUAAGCUUAGUUGCCAUCAUUAAGUUGGGCACUCUAAGUUGACUGCCGGUGACAAACCGGAGGAAGGUGGGGAUGACGUCAAAUCAUCAUGCCCCUUAUGAUUUGGGCUACACACGUGCUACAAUGGACAAUACAAAGGGCAGCGAAACCGCGAGGUCAAGCAAAUCCCAUAAAGUUGUUCUCAGUUCGGAUUGUAGUCUGCAACUCGACUACAUGAAGCUGGAAUCGCUAGUAAUCGUAGAUCAGCAUGCUACGGUGAAUACGUUCCCGGGUCU
rnacentral:rRNA from 1 species